CCCACGACUCCACGGCGCCACCAUCUCCCCCACCUUGCCGCACAACAAUCCUCCACUCUGCAUCCCCAUACCUCGCGCUGCGACGUUUCCCCUAUCCUCCGUCGCACAUAUCCGCGCUGGAGCCCUCUUGUGUGAUUCUGCCCUUGAUCUCCACAAUCCGAACCAUUCCUCGAUCGAGAGAGUUGCGGCGGAGCGGGAGGUGCGUUGAGCAGGAUGCCUGGGGGCGUGUGUGAUUCCUGUCGGAGAGGGUCCAGUGCCAUGGAUGGCCAACAAAUCCGCCCUCUCGAUGCCAUCCAUGGGGAAAUGGUUGGGAGCGACGAUGCCACUGUUGACGGAGGGAAUUCACUGUUGUGCUGUAGGUGUUGGCGCGGCGAAUCGGAGUGUGGGCGGGCAUGACAUCGACAGGGACGUACACCCUCCCCAAUGCGUGAGCGGCACCCACACAGCUCGCACCAUGGACCGGUAUGAAUCUUCAAUAUUGGAUCUGUCUAUGAAAUUUCUGCUGAAUCCGUGGCUCUUCGUCACGUCGAUAAUCAGCUAACAUACAGACUGUCAGACAUCACUGGCUGCAAGGCAAGUCGGGGAAUGCUCCAAUGGCUGGCGAUGAGACAAGCUCACACGUUUGGUUACCAAUUUCUCUAUUCAAUUAUUGCUGGUCAGGUCUGUAGGUAUACAAGAACUGUCCUUUAGUGUCUAGCCUGAUAUCUUCAUAUGUGUAUUUGAUGUACCUAUAGUAUAAUGCAGUCCCUACUAGCAAGGCAAUAUGUGGAAGGGAACCACGAGCAAGCCUACAUGCUUUUAUAUGGAGUUCUGCAGGAUUGGAGGUGUGAUUCGUCCAGCAGUUUCGUGUGAGAGCAAGUCAUGUGGAGAGGGGAUAAAUAGAACAAUAAGUGUUCCUACUGGAUCAGGAAACAUGUGAUAGGUCUGGUGUGGUUGCUAGGGUGAUAAUAAUGCCACGGAUGUGUGAACUUAUAUAUGGUUUCAAAAUCUUCUUCACCAUUGUCUUUAUGUUACAUCUCAUGUCUUCACGUUUAGGAUUUCUGCAGGUUUAGGUUUUUCAUUAAUUAUUUGCCGAUUCAUAACAGUGGCGUCCUCAUUCUCUUGUCUCGGCAAGACAUUUUUCCUUUCAUGCAUGUACCUUUUUAAGUACAUUGUCUACCCGGUCUUGAUGUUUCUUUCCUUUUGUAGAGAUAUAAGGAUUUUGUGUGUUGCAAAUAAAUACAGUCUCAGGCUUAGCUUAACCUUCAUUUUAUUUUAUUUUUAUAUAAGUUUGCUAGCAUUAUUACUGAGUAUUUAGGCCCAUGAUGCCUUUUGGGCAUGUUCAAUUGUUUGGACUAUGUAGCAUUAGCUUAAUGUAUUUCAUAUUAUGGAACCAAACAUAUUGGAUUUGAUACUGCAUUAAUAUUUGGAAUUAUUAGUUGAGAAACACUAGAUUACCUGAGCUGCUGCAUAUUUUUGUUAAUUUGCCGAUGUAAGUAUCGUGGGGUUGUAAUUGUUGAUUAGUUUUAGAUAUGCACAUUUCUAUUUGCAGGUUAUCCCAUUCAAGUUUCUUUACACAAAACUUAACUCACUUUAUUCCUUGUCAGUUAAUGCUUCAUAUGGAUACUAAAAGAAAAGGCUAGAUCUUUUCCUAAAAUAAGAAGCACCAAUUAAAAGAGAGCAUGUUUAGACAUAGCAUUAUAUGUAGAUAUAACUGUGGACAAAGCGAAUUGCUAAAACAAAUUGCUAUCUCCCUCGGCGCUCUAUUUGUGAAUUUGUUUUCUGCUAGGUUAUCAUACCAGUUGUUGCGCACGGAAGCUUCAAGCCAUGGAUCAAGUUGUGCAAGCCACCCGCGUUCGGUAGCAUGCUGCCCAAGUCGGCGGCAGCCAAGGGAAUUUCUUCAUGGUAUGAUGAUACAUUUCAAGUAGGUGUUAGGUCAUGACAGCCGAGGAUGUGGAUUAGGACACAAGUUCGAUGAUGCUGCGGACUAGCACGCACUGUGUUCAAAGGAGUGACUGCCUUGGAUGUAGUUUCUUACAAGGAACAAGGUGCCACCGUGAAAGGGAUGGGAGCUGACCACCUAUACUGCCUAACAUUGACAACAAGGCUGAUCUACACAGCACCCUGGACAUCCAUAAUGGGGAUGCUAGCCAAGACAUGAGAACGAUGAUGCACAUAUCAUGCUAUGUCGUGCGUUGAUGGGUCGGGCAGAGGCUAUCCUUGCCAGGUCCUCCGAGUUCUACCACAAUAGUAACAACUACAACAGCGCUCUCGACAACAUGCAGAAUUCACAGCAGUACAUUUUGUGGAGCACGAACAUGAACACAAGAGUCCUACCAGAGUACUUCAUCAGCAUCAAGUUUCCAGAGUGCGCAACACCUGCAAGGAUCACUGGGAGCUUUCCAAUCCUUGGAGACGCGAUUCAGUGGUUCGUUGCGAUUCGCCAAGCUGUAGAUAUUGCAGGGAACUUGCAAUCGAUUCAAGAUAAAUUUAUGUUCUUUGCCUGAUCAUCACAUCUGCUGCAUUUGACUAAUGUAAUUGUGCGGUCCCUACCAUGCAACCAUACAAUAAGUUAAGGAAGAAAAUAAAGUGCAUUACCUAGAAUUUCCCAACUUUGGUAGACGUGAAUUUCUAGGAUCUUUGGCUGAACUAAUUAUGCAUGCUCUCCCCUCUUAUCAUUGGAAGUUCCACGCUCAUGGAUAGCUACUAGGUACUAACCCUUUGAACUCAUUUUUACAUAGUUGCAUAUGAACUAAACAAUCCUCAUGUGUAGCUCAUUUGCAUGUAUUGUGUAAACAUAUGAGAGAUGCGAGCUAUUUUGGCCCUGCCGUCUGGUGGAUGGACGAUGGCACAUUAAAGCGCCAACUUGAUGUAGUAUGGCUCACAAUGCAUGCUCGACACCCUAAAUAUAGUC